UAGGGAAUCUUCCACAAUGGACGCAAGUCUGAUGGAGCAACGCCGCGUGAGUGAAGAAGGUCUUCGGAUCGUAAAGCUCUGUUGUUGGUGAAGAAGGAUAGAGGCAGUAACUGGUCUUUAUUUGACGGUAAUCAACCAGAAAGUCACGGCUAACUACGUGCCAGCAGCCGCGGUAAUACGUAGGUGGCAAGCGUUGUCCGGAUUUAUUGGGCGUAAAGCGAGCGCAGGCGGAAUGAUAAGUCUGAUGUGAAAGCCCACGGCUCAACCGUGGAACUGCAUCGGAAACUGUCAUUCUUGAGUGCAGAAGAGGAGAGUGGAACUCCAUGUGUAGCGGUGGAAUGCGUAGAUAUAUGGAAGAACACCAGUGGCGAAGGCGGCUCUCUGGUCUGCAACUGACGCUGAGGCUCGAAAGCAUGGGUAGCGAACAGGAUUAGAUACCCUGGUAGUCCAUGCCGUAAACGAUGAGC
rnacentral:rRNA from 1 species